GAGUAUUUGAAUUUGAACCUACCUGUGUGGGUUCAAACAAAUCUGACUUUGUGGUAACAAUGAAAAAAAUAGGAUUGGGUUUAAAGAUGAUGCUUUUAAAGAAAUUUAGAGGUAUCGACCCAAGCUGCUUUUAUUCAACUCUCUUAUUAUUUGACUGAAUUUUAUCAAGUAAUCCAAUUUUUUUGGAUUAAAAAAGUUUUAAAA
rnacentral:misc_RNA from 1 species